rnacentral:lncRNA from 1 species
AGGAUGGAUAAAUGAGGGAUGAUAAAAGCUUAAUAUUUGCCUUCUAUAUUUUAGGAGAAAAUGCAAGUAAAGUCGGUAGUGCCUUCUGUAGCCGUUUGACAGUUUGGAGCUUCACAGAGCAACUGACUACAGAGGAUUACUAGGGCAUAGGUUCUAUGCUUUACCAUGUCUUCUCCUUACAGUGUGGAGAAGGAGGGAGUCACAGGACUGGGCAGGGCUACAUGGCCUUGGGAAGCUGUCUGUUCUUCCUGAGCUUCCGUGUCCACUAGUCACCAAGGAGGUCCUGUGGAACACUGAACAGAAAGAUCUCUCUGUAAGUCAGUCAAUGCCUUCUGGAUCUGUUUUAAGGCUAUGUACCUGCUGCUUGGGCCUGUCUGACCCCUCUGGUGUGCCUCUUGGCUGAAAGUAAUUUUAUUGGCAUUUCUCUGAUCACAAAUGAUGCUGAACACCAUUUUUAAAAAAAAUAAUG